UGAUUGAUGGUGCUUGCACCUGAUUGAUUUUGGUCGCCAACGAGUGGCGGACGGGUGAGUAACACGUAGGUAACCUGCCCAGAAGCGGGGGACAACAUUUGGAAACAGAUGCUAAUACCGCAUAACAGCGUUGUUCGCAUGAACAACGCUUAAAAGAUGGCUUCUCGCUAUCACUUCUGGAUGGACCUGCGGUGCAUUAGCUUGUUGGUGGGGUAACGGCCUACCAAGGCGAUGAUGCAUAGCCGAGUUGAGAGACUGAUCGGCCACAAUGGGACUGAGACACGGCCCAUACUCCUACGGGAGGCAGCAGUAGGGAAUCUUCCACAAUGGGCGCAAGCCUGAUGGAGCAACACCGCGUGAGUGAAGAAGGGUUUCGGCUCGUAAAGCUCUGUUGUUAAAGAAGAACACGUAUGAGAGUAACUGUUCAUACGUUGACGGUAUUUAACCAGAAAGUCACGGCUAACUACGUGCCAGCAGCCGCGGUAAUACGUAGGUGGCAAGCGUUAUCCGGAUUUAUUGGGCGUAAAGAGAGUGCAGGCGGUUUUCUAAGUCUGAUGUGAAAGCCUUCGGCUUAACCGGAGAAGUGCAUCGGAAACUGGAUAACUUGAGUGCAGAAGAGGGUAGUGGAACUCCAUGUGUAGCGGUGGAAUGCGUAGAUAUAUGGAAGAACACCAGUGGCGAAGGCGGCUACCUGGUCUGCAACUGACGCUGAGACUCGAAAGCAUGGGUAGCGAACAGGAUUAGAUACCCUGGUAGUCCAUGCCGUAAACGAUGAGUGCUAGGUGUUGGAGGGUUUCCGCCCUUCAGUGCCGGAGCUAACGCAUUAAGCACUCCGCCUGGGGAGUACGACCGCAAGGUUGAAACUCAAAGGAAUUGACGGGGGCCCGCACAAGCGGUGGAGCAUGUGGUUUAAUUCGAAGCUACGCGAAGAACCUUACCAGGUCUUGACAUCUUGCGCCAACCCUAGAGAUAGGGCGUUUCCUUCGGGAACGCAAUGACAGGUGGUGCAUGGUCGUCGUCAGCUCGUGUCGUGAGAUGUUGGGUUAAGUCCCGCAACGAGCGCAACCCUUGUUACUAGUUGCCAGCAUUAAGUUGGGCACUCUAGUGAGACUGCCGGUGACAAACCGGAGGAAGGUGGGGACGACGUCAGAUCAUCAUGCCCCUUAUGACCUGGGCUACACACGUGCUACAAUGGACGGUACAACGAGUCGCGAACUCGCGAGGGCAAGCAAAUCUCUUAAAACCGUUCUCAGUUCGGACUGCAGGCUGCAACUCGCCUGCACGAAGUCGGAAUCGCUAGUAAUCGCGGAUCAGCAUGCCGCGGUGAAUACGUUCCCGGGCCUUGUACACACCGCCCGUCACACCAUGAGAGUUUGUAACACCCAAAGUCGGUGGG
rnacentral:rRNA from 2 species